AAAUCCCUACGGGGGGCAGCAGUGGGGGAUAUUGCACAAUGGGGGGAACCCUGAUGCAGCGACGCCGCGUGGGUGAAGGAGCGUUUCGGCGCGUAAAGCCCUAUCGGCAGGGAAGAAGAUGACGGUACCUGACCAAGAAGCCCCGGCUAACUACGUGCCAGCAGCCGCGGUAAUACGUAGGGGGCAAGCGUUAUCCGGAUUUACUGGGGGCAAAGGGGGCGAAGACGGCAAUGCAAGCCAGGGGGGAAAGGCCGGGGGCCAACCCCGG
rnacentral:rRNA from 1 species